CCGCGCCCGGCCUUUUUUUUUUUUGGUUUUUUGGGUGAGACAGGGUCUCUGUUGCCCAGGCUGGGGUGCAGUGGCGCUAUCUCAGCUCGUUGCAGCCUCGACCUCUUGGGCUCAGAUCAUCCUGUCACCUCUGCUUCUCAAGUAGCUGAGACUACAGGCUUGCGUUGCCAAGCCCGGAUAACUUUUUGUAUUUGUUUUUUUCUUUUAUUGUAGAGACGCGGUUUUGCCAUGUUGGCUAGGCUGGUUUCAGACUCCUGAGCUCAGUGAUCCGCCUUUCUUGGCUUUCCAAAAGGCUGGGAUUACAGGUAUGAGCCACACUGCCCAUCUUACAGCAAACAUUUUUUGAUGUCUGUUGAAUACCAGGCAACAUGAUAGACUUUGGGGUAAAGUAACAAAUUGAGAAAUACACAAUCCCUGAUUUCAAGAAAUUGGUCAUGAAGUGGAAAGAAGGAAUGGUUACUAAGAGGCUCAGCAGAGGAAAACAUGUCAGCCUAGAGGUAGGAAAUGUUUCAUGGAAGAUAUUGCUUCUGUAUAAGGCCUGGAAAUACAAAGAGGGCUAUUAUGGGCUGAAUUUUGUCUCUCUACAAAUUCAUAGCAAAGUCACAUGUGUGUCAUAUGUUGAAAGGAUAACUCCUCUUGCCUGAGAAAGUGAUUUUAUUUGGAGAAGAGGCCUUUGCAGAUGUAGUCAAAUUAAGAAGUCAUUAAGGUGGGCUCUAAUCUAAUCUGACUAGUGUCCUCAUAAGAAGGGAAAAUUUGGACAGAGAGACACAGGGAGAAGACCAUGUGAAGAUUGGAUAUAUGUUGCCACAAGCCAGUGAAUGCCAAACGUCACCAGCAAACCACCAGGAACUAAGGCAAAGGGACUACUGCAGUUUCCGUCAACCAAGUUGACACUUCAGGGAUACUUUUGUGACCACCAGGCAUUACAAGGAUCCUCAAAGUUCCCCAGGAGAAUCCUGUUGAAAAUGAAGCCACUAUCAUGGUUAAGAGGAUUUGAAAUCUAAGAUCAGGAGUGACUGCUUUCGGUGAAUACAAGUUUCUAAGACUAGAAGAUGGACAUUCUAAAGUUCAGAAAAAGUCACUUCUCAAAUCACUAAGUUAUGUUGCUUCCUUCACAAUGUUGACCAAGAAUCCCUUCACCCCUUUUCUUGUUAACAUUGCAGUCAAACAUUGAUUAUCAUGCACUUUAAUAAAAUAAUAGCCAAAUUGUUAUCUCAUUUCUCUGCCUCAAGUCUGUUCUUUUCUCAGUUCACAUUGCACACUGCCUGGCUUGGGCCAUUCCUUGGUUCAGAAAUCUUAAAUUGUUCCCCAUUUUCCUACAGACUAAAGUUUAUUUUCCUUAACCUAGCCCUUUAUUGCUCCUCCAAAUUUACUCGUCUCACAAACCAUCUUUCUAGCAUCAUUUCCAAUAA
rnacentral:lncRNA from 10 species